rnacentral:rRNA from 1 species
AGCCUACGGGACGCAGCAGUGGGGAAUAUUGCACAAUGGGCGCAAGCCUGAUGCAGCAACGCCGCGUGAGUGAUGACGGCCUUCGGGUUGUAAAGCUCUGUCUUCAGGGACGAUAAUGACGGUACCUGAGGAGGAAGCCACGGCUAACUACGUGCCAGCAGCAGCGGUAAUACGUAGGUGGCGAGCGUUGUCCGGAUUUACUGGGCGUAAAGGGAGCGUAGGCGGACUUUUAAGUGAGAUGUGAAAUACUCGGGCUCAACUUGCGUGCUGCAUUUCAAACUGGAAGUCUAGAGUGCAGGAGAGGG